GGGGAUGUGGUCUAGUGGUAUGACAUCUGCUUUGCAUGCUGAAGGUCCUGGGUUCGAUUCCCAGCAUCUCCA
rnacentral:tRNA from 1 species